rnacentral:rRNA from 1 species
GACGAACGCUGGCGGCGUGCUUAACACAUGCAAGUCGAACGGUAAGGCCUUUCGGGGUACACGAGUGGCGAACGGGUGAGUAACACGUGGGUGAUCUGCCCUGCACUUCGGGAUAAGCCCGGGAAACUGGGUCUAAUACCGGAUAGGACUGCGCGGUGCAUGCCGUGUGGUGGAAAGAUUUAUCGGUGCAGGAUGGGCCCGCGGCCUAUCAGCUUGUUGGUGGGGUAAUGGCCUACCAAGGCGACGACGGGUAGCCGGCCUGAGAGGGCGACCGGCCACACUGGGACUGAGACACGGCCCAGACUCCUACGGGAGGCAGCAGUGGGGAAUAUUGCACAAUGGGCGCAAGCCUGAUGCGGCGACGCCGCGUGAGGGAUGACGGCCUUCGGGUUGUAAACCUCUUUCAGCAGGGACGAAGCGUGAGUGACGGUACCUGCAGAAGAAGCACCGGCCAACUACGUG